rnacentral:sRNA from 2 species
GCUAAAGUUUUCUAGGGUUCCGUAGCUUAUGCUAGUCUGGACCGAGAGAAAACCACAAAUUUAUUUUGUGACACGGAAGGAUAAAAGCCUGGGAGAU